rnacentral:rRNA from 1 species
CGGUAGGGGGCAAGCGUUGUCCGGAUUUACUGGGCGUAAAGAGCGCGUAGGCGGCGAGAGAAGUCCGGUGGGAAAGCCCUCGGCUCAACCGAGGAAGGACGCUGGAAACUCUCUUGCUUGAGGACGGCAGAGGAAAGUGGAAUUCCUGGUGUAGCGGUGAAAUGCGUAGAUAUCAGGAGGAACACCCGUGGCGAAGGCGGCUUUCUGGGCCGCACCUGACGCUGAGGCGCGAAAGCGUGGGGAGCGAACGGGAUUAGACUACCCCGGUAGUCCACGCCCUAAACGAUGGUCACUAGGUGUGCGCGGUAUCCGACCCCGCGCGUGCCGCAGCUAACGCAAGAAGUCGACCCGCCUGGGGAGUACGGCCGCAAGGUUG